AUGGUCGCCCCGAUGGAGGUCCCAGAGGCGCUCUCCGGUCCGCGGCUCUUGCGCUCCUGUUCCGCCGCCCGCUGCGCGCUGGGGCUGACUGUGUUGUCUCUGGUGGCCUCGCUCACCGCGCUGGUUGUGACGCUGACGAAACAGCCGCUGCUGCCCCGGACGCCUCCGCCGCUGCCCCGAACGCCUCCGCCGCUGCCUCCCGCGCAGCAGAAUUACGCCCAGCUCGUGCUGAAACUUAACACCUCAUCCAUAAACGAGAGGAAGCUGGACUGGUACACCAAUGAAACAAUUCAAGGAGUAUAUCUUGGACAGUCCUUUGAAUAUAGCAACAAGACACUAAAGGUUUCAGUUGGUGGCCUGUAUUGUAUAUAUACCCAGAUUAACUUUACACACAAUUUUGGCAGUACCGCUAAGCAAGAGGCAAUGAAUGCUAGUGUGUUGAUCCAUCGUCAUACUGCCGAUAGUUCUGAUUCUCUCCCUAUUCUGACUCUGCCCCUGGACCUGUCUCACCGUUCAAAGGGAACAAUGCCUUUUAAGGCUGUACUUUAUCGACUGGAAAAGAAUGACAGACUGCAUGUGACAAUAAAGCCAAAUAACAAUGGAAAACAUUAUGGAUCCCUCAGCAGUCGUGACAGCUUCUUUGGAUUGUUCCAGAUUCUUGACACAGUCCCGAGAUGACUAUAAUCUCUCUCUCUCUCUCUCUUUUGCAUUUCUUUUGGAUGCAAUGUUACACCACUGAUCCCUAAAAAGGUGAAUUUUUACGGACGCUGUUACUUGAAAGUAGCAGUGCUUCCAAACUGUGAACUAUGUUAAUGUUUGGGCAGUGGGCACUAGACAUGGUUGUAUUGCAUUCUGAGUCAAUUUUUAUAUUUUUAUAUUUUUUGCGGUACUGGGCUGCUUCUGCCCCAAACCAUGGUAGCCAUUGAGUUGAAGUACAUCAAGCCAACUUUCAGGAUAUCCUGUUGGCACAGAAAAUGUGGACUAUUGAACUCCUUCCCAGUGACAAAUAGACUGAUCUUUCUGAGCCAUUGAGCUUCAGAUGAAUUGCUUGGGCUAGCCCAAUAAAUAUUUUAUGUUUUCAUCUUUUGGAGAGCUG
rnacentral:lncRNA from 1 species